ACGAACAAGGGAGCACAAAAAAAUUACAAAUGAAAAGGGAAAACAAAUAAACCAUUUACGUAUUCUUCAAUUCAUGUAACAGAGCUUCUUCCAACAAGCUCUCUAACUCCAUCAAUUCAAGGCUUAAUCUAAUCAUCAAAACACAAAAAAUCCAUUUGGUUAAGAGCUCCGUCACCGUCCAAAUAACCCUCCUUCAACAUAGACAACAGUUCAUCAUCACUCAAUCCCUGUAACCCUAGUAGAGCGGAGUUC